CCGGUGUGGGGGUUCGUUCCCGCCUGACCGCCUGGGAGUCCAGUCAGGUCCAGUCAGGUCCAGUCAGGUUCGCGGCCCGCGGCCCACAGAGCAGCGCCCGUCCAGCCCGCGCUCGCCAGCAUGUCGUUCGUCCCGGUGGCCGAGGACUCUGACUUCCCGGUCCACAACCUGCCCUACGGCGUGUUUUCCACCACAGACAAUCCAAGACCAAGGAUCGGCGUGGCCAUUGGGGACCAGAUCCUGGACCUCAGUGUCGUUAAGCACCUCUUCACCGGGCCAGUCCUCUCCAAACACCAGGAUGUCUUCGAUCAGCCAACGCUCAACAGCUUCAUGGGCCUGGGUCAGGCUGCCUGGAAGGAGGCGAGAGCUUUCUUGCAGAAUUUACUGUCUGCCAGCCAGGCCAGGCUCAGAGAUGACAGGGAGCUUCAGAAGCGCGCAUUCGUCUCCCAGGUUUCAGCCACAAUGCACCUUCCAGCCACCAUAGGUGACUACACGGACUUCUAUUCCUCCCGGCACCAUGCUACAAACGUCGGGGUCAUGUUCAGGAGCAAGGAGAAUGCGCUGGCGCCCAAUUGGCUGCACUUACCAGUGGGCUAUCACGGUCGUGCCUCUUCUGUCGUGGUGUCCGGCACCCCCAUCCGGAGGCCCAUGGGACAGAUGAGACCCGAUGACUCUAAGCCUCCUGUGUAUGGUGCCUGCAAACUCUUGGACAUAGAGUUGGAAAUGGCUUGCUUCGUAGGCCCCGGGAACAGAUUUGGAGAGCCGAUCCCCAUCUCCAGGGCCCACGAGCACAUUUUUGGAAUGGUCCUCAUGAACGACUGGAGUGCUCGAGACAUUCAGAAGUGGGAAUAUGUCCCUCUCGGGCCGUUCCUCGGGAAGAGUUUUGGGACCACCAUCUCUCCGUGGGUGGUGCCCAUGGACGCCCUCAUGCCCUUUGUGGUGCCCAACCCGGAGCAGGACCCCCAGCCCCUACCGUACCUCCGCCACGACCAGCCCUACACGUUCGACAUCCACCUCUCUGUCGCCCUGAAAGGGGAAGGAAUGAGCCAGGCAGUUACCAUAUGCAAGUCCAAUUUUAAGCACAUGUACUGGACGAUGCUGCAGCAGCUGACGCACCACUCUGUCAAUGGCUGCAACCUGCGGCCGGGGGACCUCCUGGGUUCCGGAACCAUCAGCGGGCCGGAGCCAGAAAGCUUUGGGUCUCUGUUAGAGCUGUCGUGGAGAGGGACAAAGGCCAUCGAGCUGGGGAAUGGACAGACUAGGAAGUUCCUGCUGGACGGCGACGAAGUCGUCAUAACAGCUACGAUUUCCACAACAACCCCACAAAGAAGGCCACAAACAGUUCCCGACGUUUGCAAACGGGAAACCCGGGUCUCCGAAGGAGGUAGGGGCUCCCAUGCAGUGAUUGAUUGCAGCAGAGACCGGAUCCACGACGUCACCCCCCAGCGCCACACGUGAAUAAUCUCACUUCAUCCUCAGAAACGGAACUGGUCAUUAAUCACACCUCAUGUGAUAGGAGCAGCACAAAUGAUCAGAAUCCGAUGACCCCGGCCUGGAACACACCAGCUGUCCUGCCCCGAACUAACCCUGGGCGAUCCAAGUUGCUUUUCCGAUCGUAAGGAGAUACAUGAAGCCACUCCGAAAGUCACACAGCUGGAAGUGGGGGAUCAGCAGUGUGAUGCAGACGCUCCGCCUCUGGGCCCCGUGCGUCGUGCUCAGAACUCCGGCAUGCCACACCGCCUUCAUCAGAAAGCAACGGUAAUGAAAACAGCCCGGAGGUGAUACAGCGCAGUGCAGUAGGACCGAGAGCCUCGAAUUAGAAGAACCUUCGGCGCUGAGCUCAGCAGAACUGACGUCUGGGAACUGAUUUAUGGGAAGCCACCGGAGACGUUUCUAAGUCUGCGGGAGGGAGGUUAAAUUCAUGUAUCAGAAGGACAAGCCGAAUGCGUUCUCAAUGAAAGACACAGACUCAACAGAUUAAAACUCAUGGCAAGGCAGCUCUGUGCUGAAAGUGGUGAAGUUCUGAAUCGGCCACACUGUUCUUUGGAGACUGUUUCCAUGCCCGGGAAAGGCAAACUCGAGUGACAGGCGGAGUGACAGGCGGAGCCACAGACGAUGGCAGUCAAGGGUAGGUGGGGUAAUUUGGGUUUUAUGGCCGUUCAGUUUUAGAGAUCGGUGAUUUCAGACUUAGAGAGGAAUACUUGAAAAAGAUAAUACUCGAUUGAGGUGGGAAAUGGAACAUGGAAGAGAAAUGACUUGUGCCUGAGUAAGAGGGGUUCGUGGGCUGCCAUUUAGUUUUUAAUUUCCAGCAAGCUUGCUUAGGCUCAGUUCCCGUGCUGUCAACUAAAAUAUUAAGUGUGGCUUCAUCACACUUAUUCCUAGUGAUACUAAGUAAAACCGAAAACUCAACAGCCCAUCGAUAUGCACUCAGUGUGUGGUCUGCAGCUUAGUAAACCUAAUUUAGAAGAACUCAGGCCAUGACAUUUGUCUCGUAAUCAGAGAACUGGCAUGUAUUCUCUUGAGCAAAUGCAUCUCCUUUAAGUAAACCUGCGUGGUUCACUCUAGCUGCAUGCUCUAAAAAUGUGUACCUCCUAAGGCUUAUGCUUUAGUUUGUAAUUCUAUGAUCAAUAAUAUACAAACAGAAGGCUCAGAUUGUCGAGAUGGAAAAUCACGAGAUCCCUAAAUGUCAGGGACUGAGACAUCAUGUCACCCCUCCUUUGUGACACAGACACUCUGUUCACAGCAAAAGCAAUAACAAAAUGGGGGUUCUCAUUCAAACUCUGAAACGGGUCGAAGAUGAUAGAGCAAUUGAAGAGGAAUGUUCCUUUAGAAGUAUGUAGUUUGUUUCAUUCGAGACCAUCAGCCUUCCUUCUUUAAUCCUCUCAAGCGUGAAUUUCAUUUCUAUACGCCAGGAGAAACAGCUCCUGUCACGCUCGAAGGACAAGAAGGAUAUUACAGUCUUCCACAUCCAGUGAGGUCACUCAUUGUUUUGCUGAUCGUUCUCUGAGUUGAUUGAACAAUUAUGGGCUAAACGAUGUAAUCACCCACACGUGCCGUGUGACAAGGACCCACUGCCCAUGUGCUGGGUGUAUCACUGGUCCUCGGACCCCAGUCCACCUGUCUUGUCCUCCUGUCCCCCGCCCCACGUCCACCUGUCCCAUCCACCUGUACGCCUGCCCCGUCCACCUGUCUGCCCGUCCCUGGCUGCCGUCCCUCAGCAUCUGCCCGUGUGGUCUUUCCAGGUGCUCAUCCCUCAGGAUGUGGCCACGUUUCCGGGCUCUGGAUGAAUCUCUGUGGGUCUCCAAUUGGGCUCCUGUCUCUGGGUCUCACACUCAGUUCAGACGGCCUCAGACCAGCCCACCAGCCAGGCCCCAGAAGACUUUCCUGAGAACUCAUUCUGCGACACCCCCAGAGGGAAGUUCUGUCGCUCCACACACCUCCUGGCUCUGUUCCCGAACACCUGUCCUAGGCCUACACGGACUGCCGUGGGCAUCUGCAGGGAGGCCGUCGCGUUUUCCCUCUUACUCCAGUGCAGAUGUCGUCAGCUUCCCCCGAGAUGCCUGAUUGACGUAGAGCAGCCCGCAGGUGGAGCUUAAACACCUAAAACUUAGCAGGAAGGGCCCCUGGCCUCUUGGGCAUUUUUCAGGGAAGAAUAAUGAUGUCUGAGUGAUCACGUGGAUUCUUCCAGGAAGAAUUCAGCUCCAAAGAGACUCUUCUUCAUUCUUUAAAUCGGCAGGCAAAGCCCCUUCCACCGCAGCAGCAGGCCCAGUGCUGGGGACAGGCCAGCGGGCCCUCCUGGUCCUGAGUCUGAAGUGCUGACUAGGAGCAGUCCAGUGGGGACUGCACGGUGCAGACUGGCAGCAUCUGCUUGGGACCGAGCUUAGGGCACAUGCUGACAGAGGCUGAGAACGUUCUGGAACCAGACUGUCCGUUCCGACAGUGCUGGCUCAGGCCAGCCUGGUAGGUCGGAGCAGGUGACAGGUGAGGGAAGAAGGACACAGAAGAUGGGAGACGGAACGAGCAGAGUCCAGGACACGCCUGGGACAGAGCCGCUGCCUGAGCUGCUGCUGAGAGGGAGCGUGCAGCCGAGGAGGGCGCCUGGGGACCGGCGCUGCCGCUGGCGGGCGGCGGGGCCUCGAGGGAACUCCGCGUCACCUGGAAGGUCCUGCUCCAUAGCUGCCUGCCGGGCUGGGGGGCCAAGAGGAGAAACGGAAACAGCAGUGGGACCUUCCCCAGGGCCAGAGACCCCGAGAACGAAGUCUGCUCAGACCUCGGAGCCCGCGAGAGCACCGUUGCCCACUGUCUUCUCCAAGCCAGCCGUCUCGGAAGACGCGGGACAGGGCAGGAAGUGGUUGUCCCCCAGCCCUUCGACGUCUUUCCCAAACCCAAGCAACCUCACUGUCACUGUGUAGCGGAGCUUACCAGCAGCAUCGCAGCUGCAGCGCCCUCUGCUGGCGACGGGAGUCCUGGGGGAAGCGACCGCCACUUGCGGAAGGAAGGGCCCCCGCCGUGGCCUCGAGCUCCAGGUUGGGACAACCAUGGCGAUGCAGCCCUUGCCUUCCAGAAGCUUACCGCCCAGUGAGAGGUGGCACAGACGGCCAAGGAUACGCGGUGCGGGUAAGGCGCUGCGGGAGGCCAGCGGGCGGAGGCGUGACUUUGGGCCAGGGCGGGCGAGAGGAAAUGGAAGUCUGAGCGUUGAAGGCGUGUGUCCAGCAGCGUGCGAGUCAGGAGGAACCCCGAACCCAGAGGGUGGGGGGACGUCUCAGAGGUAAUCAGACGGGAAAGCGAGGAGAGUCUAACGAGAUGGAACGAGGCUCCAGGCAUUGAGUGAUACCCGUGGUCCAUGGCAGAAGCUGCAAGGGAACCCGUCCCGAAGUUUGUCCCCUGCCGUGUGUCCCAGGAAAGCUGCGUCCCUUCCAAAGGGCUGCUGUGCGGAGCCUCUCGGCGUCCCUCCCUCAGCUAGGUCUUCAACCAAUCACGAGCGUUCUAGCCCCGUGCCGGGCACCCCGUCCUCCUUCCUGCUCGUUAACGCCGGCCGAGCGGCUAACCACGUGCCGGGCGCUGUGUCACCUGUACUGUCUCCACUGAUCCCCGUGAUAGUGCAGAAACGAGGACUCUGAGGCCUGGGGAGGUUGAGCGAGAGCCGCACGGGGAGCAAGGGGCAGGUGUGGGGUCGCGUGACGCCGGCGCCUGUGUUCGUCAUCACUCUCGUGUCCCCUGUGUGUUCUGCCUCGUACCCGUCAACUUCUGGGUGGUCACGACCGUAGCAUCUGAUGCGUCACGUUUUCUGCCUCCCGUAAGAGAAGGAGUAACCUGUGACGAUAGAGCACCCAGACCGCUUGGGAAGAUGCUGGUGGCGGUGACGCCACGGAAAUUCCUGGGGAAAGUCUGGUCCAAAGAAAUACAAGACAGACUCAGCCUAGAAAACUCAACAUGGGGUUUCUGUCCACCGUGCGCCUUUUGUCCUGGGCUCUUGAAAUAGGUGUGGCCACUGAUUUUCAUUUGCAGAAUUUCUCAGAGCAGCACUCGAAGGCCGCUGAGAGCAAAGAAGCAGCUGCGUGCAGCUCAGAAGGUCACCAAAAAGCCUCUAAAUUGGCGAAUACGUGUGCGUACACUUUCGACUCAUUUGAACAUGCAGAUAAAUUUAAGCGCUCUUUGGCAUCAGUGAUUCUCAUAAAUUAGAAACAAUUGUAGUAAAUGCAUGGCAGCAUCUAGGCAAAUAAUAAUGUUAUUAUUAUUAUCUGUCUAAUUACAAAGCGUGGGGCUGAAACCAUUUCCGUUAAUUCACCCAAUUUCCUAUUGUCAAAUGCUACUGUCUGUGCUCGAUGUGAUUAUGUGACGGGCUGAUUACGUUUGAUAUCCUUUAUCGUACAUUCUGCUUCCGGCAAAAUAAGAAGGUAGCACUAGAAGUAAGUUCGGGGACAAGGAGGGAGGAUGCCCUCCAAGGGCAGGAAAUGCUGUCCUUUGCGUAGAAGUGGCUUCGACGCGAUUUUAUUGGAAUAACUGAAUAUAUUUACGAGCGGCAAGAAGCAAAUAAAAAAGGGUAUUUGA